rnacentral:ncRNA from 1 species
GUAUAUGCGAAGAAGAGGAUUAGUACAUGGCAGAAGCAUUGCAGAGAGAGACUUGUUUGCUGGGAGAGUCUUAUGUGAAAGUGAUGGAACCUACCUUGGAGCACUGUAUGAAAAUACAGCGUAUGCCUGCGUUAAAGGAAAUGAGUUGAAUCAAAAUUGAUUAAUUAGGGUGGCACCGCCGAAGUUCUUUGGUCCCUUUG